rnacentral:misc_RNA from 1 species
AAGAUUGACCGAAAGGUCUUAUCUCUAUAUCCCUCACCUCUGUGAACUGUGGACCUCCGGGUCUAUUUAACAACAACAUCAGUGUAAUGAACGUAUAUAUCAUUAAACAAAACA